rnacentral:rRNA from 1 species
UACAGAGGUCUCGAGCGUUGUUCGGAUUCAUUGGGCGUAAAGGGCGCGUAGGCGGCGGGGUAAGUCUGGUGUGAAAUCUCGGAGCUCAACUCCGAAAUUGCACUGGAUACUGCUCUGCUAGAGGGCUAGAGAGGAGAUCGGAAUUCACGGUGUAGCAGUGAAAUGCGUAGAUAUCGUGAGGAAGACCAGUGGCGAAGGCGGAUCUCUGGACAGCUCCUGACGCUGAGGCGCGAAGGCUAGGGGAGCAAACGGG